GACGAACCGUGCGAACGUUGUUCGGAAUCACUGGGCUUAAAGGGCGCGUAGGCGGGCGGUCAAGUCCGGGGUGAAAUCUUUCGGCUCAACCGGAAAAGGGCCUCGGAUACUGGCCGCCUGGAGGAAGGUAGGGGCAUGCGGAACUUCCGGUGGAGCGGUGAAAUGCGUUGAUAUCGGAAGGAACGCCGGUGGCGAAAGCGGCGUGCUGGACCUUUUCUGACGCUGAUGCGCGAAAGCCAGGGGAGCGAACGGG
rnacentral:rRNA from 1 species